AGAGUUUGAUCCUGGCUCAGGAUGAACGCUGACAGAAUGCUUAACACAUGCAAGUCUACUUGAACUUCGGUUUGGGUGGCGGACGGGUGAGUAACGCGUAAAGAACUUGCCUCACAGUUAGGGACAACAUUUGGAAACGAAUGCUAAUACCUGAUAUUAUGAUUUUAGGGCAUCCUAAGAUUAUGAAAGCUAUAUGCGCUGUGAGAGAGCUUUGCGUCCCAUUAGCUAGUUGGAGAGGUAACGGCUCACCAAGGCGAUGAUGGGUAGCCGGCCUGAGAGGGUGAACGGCCACAAGGGGACUGAGACACGGCCCUUACUCCUACGGGAGGCAGCAGUGGGGAAUAUUGGACAAUGGACCAAAAGUCUGAUCCAGCAAUUCUGUGUGCACGAUGACGUUUUUCGGAAUGUAAAGUGCUUUCAGUUGGGAAGAAAAAAAUGACGGUACCAACAGAAGAAGUGACGGCUAAAUACGUGCCAGCAGCCGCGGUAAUACGUAUGUCACAAGCGUUAUCCGGAUUUAUUGGGCGUAAAGCGCGUCUAGGUGGUUAUGUAAGUCUGAUGUGAAAAUGCAGGGCUCAACUCUGUAUUGCGUUGGAAACUGCAUGACUAGAGUACUGGAGAGGUAAGCGGAACUACAAGUGUAGAGGUGAAAUUCGUAGAUAUUUGUAGGAAUGCCGAUGGGGAAGCCAGCUUACUGGACAGAUACUGACGCUAAAGCGCGAAAGCGUGGGUAGCAAACAGGAUUAGAUACCCUGGUAGUCCACGCCGUAAACGAUGAGUGCUAAG
rnacentral:rRNA from 1 species